rnacentral:misc_RNA from 1 species
UACAGAGGUCCCAAGCGUUGUUCGGAUUCACUGGGCGUAAAGGGUGCGUAGGUGGCCGGGUAAGUCUGAUGUGAAAGCUCCGAGCUUAACUCGGAAAUGGCAUUGGAUACUAUCCGGCUCGAGGGUCGGAGGGGAGACUGGAAUUCUCGGUGUAGCAGUGAAAUGCGUAGAUAUCGAGAGGAACACCGGUGGCGAAGGCGAGUCUCAGGACGACACCUGACAAUGAGGCACGAAAGCUAGGGGAGCAAACAGG